UACGUAGGGUGCGAGCGUUAAUCGGAAUUACUGGGCGUAAAGCGUGCGCAGGCGGUUCGUUAAGUCAGAUGUGAAAGCCCCGAGCUCAACUUGGGAACUGCAUUUGAAACUGGCGGGCUGGAGUGUGGCAGAGGGGGGUGGAAUUCCACGUGUAGCAGUGAAAUGCGUAGAGAUGUGGAGGAACACCGGUGGCGAAGGCGGCAUCCUGGACCGACACUGACGCUGAGGAGCGAAAGCCAGGGGAGCAAACGGG
rnacentral:rRNA from 1 species